CUCUCUCGCAUCCCCCCCUCGUCUCUCAUCCUCCUCUCUAGGUGAACUCCUGCCCGUGACGAGCAGUGCAUCCCUGGUGUUCGCUGUAGAAACAGGGCAGUCGGACGAAGACCUUUCACUGGAACAACCAGCCCCUGCUGGGGACAACAAGUCCUGAGACCCGGGCCACACCAGGACCAGAACAAGGUCUUACCGGGGCUGGAUAAACCUGCCUGGAUUGGGCCGACCUGGAUAAACCUACCUGGAUUGGGCCGACCUGGAUAAACCUACCUGGAUUGGGCCUACCUGGAUAAACCUACCUGGAUUGGGCCUACCUGGAUAAACCUACCUGGAUUGGGCCUACCUGGAUAAACCUGCCUGGAAUGGGCCUACCUGGAUAAACCUACCUGGAUUGGGCCUACCUGGAUAAACCUACCUGGAUUGGGCCUACCUGGAUAAACCUACCUGGAUUGGGCCUACCUGGAUAAACCUACCUGGAAUGGGCCUACCUGGAUAAACCUACCUGGAAUGGGCCUACCUGGAUAAACCUACCUGGAAUGGGCCUACCUGGAUAAACCUACCUGGAAUCGGCCUACCUGGAUAAACCUACCUGGAAUGGGCCUACCUGGAUAAAUCUACCUGGAAUGGGCCUACCUGGAUAAAUCUACCUGGAAUGGGCCUACCUGGAUAAACCUACCUGGAAUGGGCCUACCUGGAUAAACCUACCUGGAAUGGGCCUACCUGGAUGAACCUACCUGGAUAAACCUAUCUGGAAUGGGCCUACCUGGAUAAACCUACCUGGAAUGGGCCUACCUGGAAUGGGCCUACCUGGAAUGGGCCUACCUGGAAUGGGCCUACCUGGAUAACCCUACCUGGAAUGGGCCAACCUGGAUAAACCUACCUGGAUAAACCUACCCGGAUAAACCUACCUGGAUAAACCUACCCGGAAUAAACCUACCCUGGAUAAACCUACCUGGAUAAACCUACCUGGAUAAACCUACCUGGAUAAACCUACAAGGAAUAAACCUACCUGGAUAAACCUACCUGGAUAAACCUACCUGGAUAAACCUACCUGGAUAAACCUACCCUGGAUAAACCUACCCUGGAUAAACCUACCUGGAUAAACCUACCUGGAUAAACCUACCUGGAUAAACCUACCUGGAUAAACCUACCUGUGAGUGAUUCCAGAUAAAACCAGGACAAAAAGAACCACAUUUGUGGGAUUUUGUGGAAAUUGUAUCCAUAGAGGAAGGAUUAUUGACAUAUUUUACGGUUUUUUACAUUUUGUAUCUAAAGCAUAAUAAAAGUAUUAAUCAAAUCUGG